rnacentral:rRNA from 1 species
UACGAAGGGUGCAAGCGUUACUCGGAAUUACUGGGCGUAAAGCGUGCGUAGGCGGUUUGUUAAGUCUGUCGUGAAAGCCCCGGGCUCAACCUGGGAAUGGCGAUGGAUACUGGCGAGCUAGAGUACGGUAGAGGAGAGUGGAAUUCCCGGUGUAGCAGUGAAAUGCGUAGAGAUCGGGAGGAACAUCAGUUGCGAAGGCGGCUCCCUGGACCAGUACUGACGCUGAGGCACGAAAGCGUGGGGAGCAAACAGG